rnacentral:rRNA from 1 species
UACAGAGGUCUCAAGCGUUGUUCGGAUUCAUUGGGCGUAAAGGGUGUGUAGGUGGCGCGCUAAGUCGGGUGUGAAAUUUCGGAGCUUAACUCCGAAACUGCAUUCGAUACUGCGGUGCUUGAGGACUGGAGAGGAGACUGGAAUUCAUGGUGUAGCAGUGAAAUGCGGUAGAUAUCGAUAAGGAAGACCAGUGGCGAAGGCGGGUCUCGUGGACAGUUCCUGACGCUGAGGCACGAAGGCCAGGGGAGCAAACGGG